GUUUAUGGCCAUGCCACCUUGAAAAAGACCGAUGUCUGAUCUCAGAAGCUAAGCAGGAUCAGGCCUGGUUAGUACUUGGAUGAGAGUCCACCUAGGAAGACCAGGUGCUGUAGGCG
rnacentral:rRNA from 1 species